AUAUUUAAGUGAUGUUCAUAUGAAUUUUUGAAAUUCAAGAGUUUUAAUUUAAUUUAAAAAAAUAUAAG
rnacentral:tRNA from 1 species